AGAUGUUAGUCAUGUUGUUGGACACUCAUCUUGCACUCACAUGGCAUUGGUGAGGAUGAGGAGAUGCAGGAAUGUAAACAAAACUGUAAAUAAUCAAUCAUAAUUGAACUUGUUCAUCCAAUACAGUAUUACCUGAUUAUGCAGCAGAAGUGCUUAUAUUUUUAUUUUUUUAAUUUAAGAUGCAUGUUAUUAAGGAAUAAAGUAAAACAUUAAUUUAAUCUCUGGGAAAUAUUCGUAACUUGGUUUGCAACUCAGAAUCCCAAAAGCUUAUUGGCUGGAAAACUCCAGAAAUAUUUGAACCUAUUCUUAACUGUAUGUCCUGGACCUUUGCCUUGAUUGGGAUGAUGUGUUUAAGCCGAGGGGAGACUAACACAAGCCUGGCCAUGUGUUAUGUACAAUGGAUUUUGCAGGCAGAGAUUUAAUAAGAGAGAUUCAUUAUGUUUUGUUCAAUGGCGCUGUUAUCCAUAUGCUGCUUUUCAAAGCCUGGGUGCUUCCUGAAAGCAUCUCAGCGUACUUUUAGGCUUGCCUGGUGUUUUGAUUUUGCUUGAAAAUGGAGGGCAGAGUUAAGGUUAUUUAUGUUAUUUAACUCUGACCAUAGCAUCUCAUUUGUUUUCCUGACUUGUUUUUUUUCAGCACCACCUCGUUACUGAAUCUUCUGGUUUUCAAGAUGAGAGUAUACUGCUUUAUUUAAGGAUACCUUUUAGUGACUCUGCCAGAAAUGAAGAAGAGGAAGGAUGCGACCUGGAAGAUAUGUCCAUAAUGUGGUUCUUCAAAGAGUUCACGACUACCCUGGUGCCGUGUGCGGUUUAAAGAGGGAGGAGGGUCUGGAGCAAGGGAGCAAAGCUCACUCCGUUUACACAAAGCAGUGUGACAGUCCCAGCUAACUGCAAGUGUGCCUCUGGGAAUGCAGACAAAGGUGUCACCGUGAUUAAUGGGGUAAUUAAUAAGCAAUUAAUGUGCUUUAGAGCAUGGCUAUGCCUCUUAUCCCAGACAUCCACUAAGCACUGAUGCACUUUCUCUGGUGACAAUCAGAGUUCAGAGCAGCUUGGGCUGAUGAAGAUGAUGCUUGCAGAUUGUGAUGCCACCAAGAGCUCCUCAGUGCCACUCUGCACUGACACAACGGGAAGUCUGCUUUGGAGGGAGGGAAAGGAAAAUUGUGUUCUUUCUUUCUUUCUUUUUUUUUUUUCUU
rnacentral:lncRNA from 1 species